AAGGGUAUUAUAGAUAAUCAACACAUAAGAAUCAGUUUUGCAGCCAAAUAAUUUUACAAACUGAUUCUGAUUCUCGAGAAGAAUCAGGAGAAUCAGCUCCCAUGGAGAAUCAGGAGCAGAUCGGGGAGCGGAGCUCUACCAAACUUGCUCUAAAUGAAAAUCCCCUGGCAAAUCAAACAACAUAAGUGAAUGGAAGAUCCCUGGUGAGCACAACACCAAUAGUGAAUGAAAGAUCUUCGUUGAAGCAAACACCAUUAGUGAAUAAAAGACCACC
rnacentral:lncRNA from 1 species